rnacentral:rRNA from 1 species
UACGUAGGGGGCUAGCGUUGUCCGGAAUCAUUGGGCGUAAAGGGCGCGUAGGCGGCCUUCUAAGUCGAACGUGAAAUCCCCGGGCUCAACCCGGGAACUGCGUCCGAUACUGGAAGGCUUGAAUCCGGGAGAGGGAUGCGGAAUUCCAGGUGUAGCGGUGAAAUGCGUAGAUAUCUGGAGGAACACCGGUGGCGAAGGCGGCAUCCUGGACCGGCAUUGACGCUGAGGCGCGAAAGCCAGGGGAGCAAACGGG